AGCCUCUUUAUGCAGCUCUAUCUGCUCUGACUCUCCUCGUGCAAUUCAAUGGAUGGCUAUAGUUUUUCCUCUUGCUUUCUUACAAGCUGCCUCUUAGUCCAGAAACUCAUGUGACAUACUACGAAUACACCAGAUUAUGGCACAUAAAUGUGCUCUUGGCCAUGAAUUUGUGGUUCUGGUGUGCCAUAUAUUCUACAUGGACGGCCUCCUCCUCGACACGGAGGGGUUCUACACGGAGGUGCAGGAGAAGAUCUCGCGAGGUACGGCAAGGUGUUCGACUGGUCCCUCAAGGCCAAUAUGAUGGGUGAAAAGGCCACCAAGUCGGCGCACAUCUUCAUCAACGAGUGCAGCCUCGCUAGCCUACUCACCCCGGAGCAGUUCCUCGAGGAGCGUGAGGGCAUGAUGCAGGAGCUCUUCCCCUCCCGCGCCGUCCUGCCUGAUGAUUGCCUUCAUUCAUGUUUCGACGUGAUCUCUAGGUCGAAGUUGGAAGAAGCAAGGCAUGCACGAUCUAGGCAUGCAUGCAUGCUCUCUUAUCCCUGCUUCUGCUCCUUAGGAGAUGUGGAUUUCUGGGACUUUUGAUGUACUCCCAGCAUUUAUCUUUUCUCUUAUCUCUUUGUUGUUUUGCUAGAAACAUAAAUCCUGAUGCAUGAUGAUCAUGGUUUGUUUUUGUAGAUCUGUUAUGAUGGCGCUUAAAAUUUUACAUGCCUCGAUUCUGAUUGAACUUGUUCUUGUAGGUCUUUCCACUUCUAUGAUCAGUUUAGUUAGAGUUGCACAUGUCAGAACACUAUAUACCAAUAACUCCCAGCUAGUGAGAAUUUUUUUGUCACUCCAUUAACACAUACUGGUUAGUAUGUACAUGGAAUUUGUUGUCAAUUUUGUUAGAAUGCAACCUUUUGGUAAUUCUGGACUUUUCUUUUGCGGUAAUGUAAUGAUGUUAGAUGUUUGUUGAUUGUUGUAUAUGGGAAAGAUGAAUCCUAUUGUUUUC